rnacentral:rRNA from 1 species
GGCUCAACCCCCCCGAAGCCCCCGGAACUUCCGCGGCUUGGUCCGGUAGGGGAGGGUGGAACACCCGGUGUAGCGGUGGAAUGCGCAGAUAUCGGGUGGAACACCGGUGGCGAAGGCGGCCCUCUGGGCCGAGACCGACGCUGAGGCGCGAAAGCUGGGGGAGCGAACAGGAUUAGAUACCCUGGUAGUCCCAGCCGUAAACGAUGGACGCUAGGUGUGGGGGGACGAUCCCCCCGUGCCGCAGCCAACGCAUUAAGCGUCCCGCCUGGGGAGUACGGCCGCAAGGCUAAAACUCAAAGGAAUUGACGGGGGCCCGCACAAGCAGCGGAGCAUGUGGCUUAAUUCGAAGCAACGCGAAGAACCUUACCAGGGCUUGACAUAUGGGUGAAGCGGGGGAGACCCCGUGGCCGAGAGGAGCCCAUACAGGUGGUGCAUGGCUGUCGCCAGCUCGUGUCGUGAGAUGUUGGGUUAAGUCCCGCAACGAGCGCAACCCCCGCCGCGUGUUGCCAUCGGGUGAUGCCGGGAACCCACGCGGGACCGCCGCCGUCAAGGCGGAGGAGGGCGGGGACGACGUCAAGUCAUCAUGCCCCUUAUGCCCUGGGCUGCACACGUGCUACAAUGGCCGGUACAGAGGGAUGCCACCCCGCGAGGGGGAGCGGAUCCCGGAAAGCCGGCCCCAGUUCGGAUUGGGGGCUGCAACCCGCCCCCAUGAAGUCGGAGUUGCUAGUAAUCGCGGAUCAGCACGCCGCGGUGAAUGCGUUCCCGGGCCUUGUACACACCGCCCGUCACACCACCCGAGUCGUCUGCACCCGAAGUCGCCGGCCCAACCGAGAGGGGGGAGGCGCCGAAGGUGUGGAGGGUGAGGGGGG